AUUGGUGGUUGUCUGUCGG
rnacentral:siRNA from 1 species